rnacentral:tRNA from 1 species
GCCUUCGUGGUGUAGUGGUUAGCACGCUCGGCACGUAUUUGAGAGGUCCGUGGUUCGAGUCCUAGUGAGGGUG